rnacentral:lncRNA from 1 species
GACAAAUCUGAGAGUUAAAAACUCUGGGAGCACCCUGUGACCCGCCCCCAGCACAAGCUUCACCCUGGGACAGAGCCACCAGCCAUUCAUCCCGCAGAAGACCAGGCACAGCAAAGCUGCAGCCACAGCUCACAGCUAUCCCAGGAUGGGAUCCUCUGAGAGUGCAGGCAGAACUGUGUUUGUCAAGGGGUUUGAAGGUGAGGUUCCAGAAACCAUCUGUGAAAAUUAGAUACCUACGUGGAUCUGGAUACAAAUGCUACUGCUGGUGAGAACAGAGCUAUGGCAUGCCUAUUUCACAGUCUCUGACUUAGCCCAAGUUCUAAGAGUUGACUCUAACAGUCUUGAAAACUACCUCAGGAUAUAUUUUUUCCCUUGAAACAAUGCUGUAAAUGGUGGCCAGAAUCUCAAAUACAUAUCCAAUUGUCCAUAGCAUUGAGGAGGCAUC